GUUGACCAGAGUUCCCCGUGAAUAACAAAAGCUUUCCAGUCAAAGGCUGGUCUCAACCUUGCAGCAAUCCUCCUGCCUCAGUCUCCCAAGUGCUAGGAUCACCGGGGUAUGGCAGCACACUCAGCGGAAUGGAAGGCUGUUUGGACUGUCUUUUUCACCUCCUCUCUCCUGACUAGCCGAGGACACAGCAUCCAAUCCACAACUGUGUGAAUGAACAAAGUUAGCUGGAACAGACAGAAUGACACCACUUCUUCUUGGCACCGUCGCUGUCCCCAGUGGCUGUCCUACGUGCACUCCACGGUGAGCAGUAACAAGCAGGAACUAACCAAAUAAGUGCAUGCUGCACAGACCUGGCUACAGUCGUGGGCAACUCCAGAAAUGUCUCAUCCUCCUAGCCUAGGGCCUCCCCCGCCAGUAUUUUAUUUAUUUUCUGACUCAGUAAGGCUGCCUCGAAGCCAGUUCCCAUCUGUUGUGAAAUGUCCUUCUCAUGAACCACUUCCUUUACAUUCCCUGAACACGUAAGGACACAGAGCCCAGGCAGAAUGUUUCGUCGUGGGUCCUAGGAAGUGACGGGAAAUAAAAAUACUGUAUUGCAUUAAAUUCUUUUUUUUUUUUUUGAGACAGGUUCUUACUAUGCAGUUCAGGAUGGUCUUGAGCUUACAUUGUAGUCCAGGUUGGUCUCAAACUCACAAGAUCCUCCUGACUCAGCCUCCUGAUUGUUGGGAUUACAGGUUUGAGCCACCACCCUCAGCUUGCAUUAAAUUCUAAAACACAGAAUUUUUUUCACCUUCUGAUCUGAAAUUAUGAAGUAUCUUGCAAUUGAGAUCAGUAGUAUUUUUUUUCCUUUCUGAAUAGCAUUUCUAGUAAUGUAUCUUAUAGUGGAUGCUCUUAGAUUUGUUAACAUGUUGUAUUUAUAAAUGCUGAAUAUUUUCCAAAUGUUGCCUUAUAAACAAACCGAAGGACAGGCAGACUUUGUGGACCAGCGUGGGAGUCAGACCUGGAACGGGAGGGCACGUUCUCAAGAGAUUCACGGACACGCCUCUGGCACGGAUUAGUCACUGAAGACCCAACAAAAUUCUUCCCUGAUUUUCAGUCCUUGCUGUGUGUUAGCCACAGCAUGUGAAGUGCUUUUCACAUACGAGUUCACUUACGGAGCCCUUGGACAGCUCUUUGAAUGGGUCCCAUCUUAAUUCCAUCUUUCAGAGGCAUGAAUUCUAGCUGAGCAUCGCUGGCUCUGCUUGCUGUAGGUGGUAAACCGCGGGUCAGGGGUGAUCGAGGCCGCAGAGCUCUACACCGCGGUCCCGUGCUCCCCGCUGCUCGCUCCCCAGGAGAUGUUUAUUUCCGGAGGCAGAUCUGGAGGAGGCAGUGUGGACACCAUGAAGAGAAGUGGGAGGAGCACUAGCAACAGACUACCUGAAAUGUAAGUCCUUCUCCUCCUCUCCUCUCUCUCCUCCUCCCCUCCUCUCUCUCCUCCUCCCCUCCUCCUCUCAUCCUCCUCCUCUUCUUCCUCCUCCCCUCCUCCUCCUCUGAAGGGCUUGCCCAAACAGAUCGAUGGAUCUGCACCCAGAGUUUCUGCUUCACUGUUCAGCUCUGCCAGGCCCUGAGAAUUUGCAUUUAGAAUAAAUCCCUGGGUGCUGUCAGUCUGGAUACCAUGCUCUGAGACCCACUGUUCUCCAUAUCAGAAGCCCUGAGUUUGAAUCCUGGAGUUUUCAUUUUCUUAGAUGUGGUUUGGGGAAAUGGAUUAGUUCUCUGGGUCUCAAUUCCUUAUUUGGUAAACUGAGCUGUCAUCUACCUGCUCUACUGAACUGUCUGUCAAUUACCUGUUACACUGUAAGAAUGAAAUUAAAUA